UCUCCGUUGGUGAACCAGCGGAGGGAUCAUUACAGGAUCGAAAGACUCCUAUAACCCCUGUGAACUUACUACAAAUACGUUGCUUCGGCGGGUGCCCCGGGUCUCCCGGGGCGUUCAGCCCGUCGGCAGCCUUCAAAUUCUGUUUCUUUGCGUUGGCAUCUCGAGUAUACAAAAAUAAGUUAAAACUUUCAACAACGGAUCUCUUGGUUCUG
rnacentral:misc_RNA from 1 species